AGUAGAGUGGCGCACGGGUGAGUAACGCGUGGGUAAUCUACCGCCGGGUCCGGGACAACUCCGGGAAACUGGAGCUAAUACCGGAUGAGACCACGGGAUCCACGGAUCCUGCGGAAAAACGAUGGCCUCUGCUUGCAAGCUAUCGCCUGACGAUGAGCCGGCGUCCCAUUAGCUAGUUGGCGGGGUAACGGCCCACCAAGGCAGUGAUGGGUAGCUGGUCUGAGGGGAUGAUCAGCCACACUGGGACUGAGACACGGCCCAGACUCCUACGGGAGGCAGCAGUCGGGAAUUUUGGGCAAUGGGCGAAAGCCUGACCCAGCAACGCCGCGUGAGGGAUGAAGGCCUUCGGGUCGUAAACCUCUGUCGGGAGGGAAGAAUGUCUUCGGGGUGAACAAUCCCGGAGGUUGACGGUACCUCUAGAGGAAGCGCCGGCUAACUCCGUGCCAGCAGCCGCGGUAAUACGGAGGGCGCAAGCGUUGUUCGGAAUCAUUGGGCGUAAAGCGCGUGUAGGCGG
rnacentral:rRNA from 1 species